AUUGAACGCUGGCGGCAGGCCUAACACAUGCAAGUCGAACGAGCGGCGGACGGGUGAGUAAUGUAUGGGGAACUGCCUGAUAGAGGGGGAUAACUACUGGAAACGGUGGCUAAUACCGCAUACUAUCGGAUGAACCCAGAUGGGAUUAGCUAGUUGGUGGGGUAAAGGCUCACCAAGGCGACGAUCUCUAGCUGGUCUGAGAGGAUGACCAGCCACACUGGGACUGAGACACGGCCCAGACUCCUACGGGAGGCAGCAGUGGGGAAUAUUGCACAAUGGGCGCAAGCCUGAUGCAGCCAUGCCGCGUGUAUGAAGAAGGCCUUCGGGUUGUAAAGUACUUUCAGCGGGGAGGCGUUACCCGCAGAAGAAGCACCGGCUAACUCCGUGCCAGCAGCCGCGGUAAUUC
rnacentral:rRNA from 1 species